GGAGAACUCCAAUGGCGACUGUGUCAGCACGCCCACACCAGGCCUCAACAAUGGCCGCCGCCAAUGUCCCAGUCCCUGGAGAGGUCUCGCCCCUCACUGAGAUGCACUCAGGGCCUAUUAGAAGGUGAGCAAGCCAUAUCGCAUAAAUCGAUCUUUCCCGUUGAGCCGAGACCGCGUCAAGAAAAAUUCUAGAGGUGUGACCUCAGUGCUCCUUGGAAGGAGGAGAAGUAAGACGAUGGAACCCUGGCCACAAAGCAGAGUCCAAGGAGCUGUUCUUGAAAGUGAAUCGUGAAUGUUUAAGGUUAUUUAAAGAUUACACUGCUAAAAAGGCAGUGGUGAAGUUUUCAUGUUCCCUCUCCUAAGGGUAUGUUUGCUCCAGCCUAUAUGCAGAACUAUGGAAUCGGCAAUGUGCAGAUUUUCGGUCUCAUAAAAAUGUUAGGAGGAACAAUGACAUUUAGAUUUUUAAGGGACUGUGCUAGGUGCUGAAGAUGGAGUGGUGGACAAGACAGAGACCCUGCCUUGUGAAGCUUACCCUCUAGUGCGGGAAGGCAAUGAAAAGGUUCUCAGGCUUUUGGCCUCAGACUGGGAGUUACAUCCUCGGCAACCCUGGUUCUCAGGCCUUCAGACUCAGACUGAAUUAUAGCACCGGCUUUCCUGGGUCUCCAGCUUGGACAUGGCCUUCUCAGCCUCCACAAUUGUCCCUCCACCUACAUUUAUGUCUGGGAAGCCACUUGAUGGUGUCUUGCUGCUACAGGUACCCACAGAAGACAUUUGAUAUUGGUGUCAAGGAUGCCAUCUCCUGGUGCUUCGAAAGCUGUAAAUCCUCAAGGGCCUGUGGCAGUGCUGUUCAGGGGGGAGAUGGCCCCCACCCCCUACACUAUGACCCUGAUGUAUGAUGAAAGGUGAGCAUAAGGCCAGACCGAAGCACGGGAAGGUGUGUCUGCCCAGCCCACUGCAGGACGGAAAUAAAAGGGACACCAGAGACGGUGAAAGGCAGUUCCCACAUGGCCCCUAACUGUAGGGGUUGGUUAGCUAGAAAUGUCAAUAGUCCUAAUGAGGACUGUGGAGUAAUUUGUUAAAUAACCGAGUGAGGAUGCCAGUCAGAAGCUGCUGGAGGAGAGCACAGCAUCAAUGAGAGACAAACGAAAUCGCUCGCUUUUCUCUGCAUCAAGUGGGCCCUUGGAGGCUCAGAACGAGUUGGUCCAGAAAAAGCAGAGAGAGCAGAAGGAAAGAGUUGGGGAAGGAAGGACGAGGCAGCUCAGCCUCCUGGAAGUCUGAGGGGCGAUGAAGAAAGAGACCCCUUGCUCACACUGAGAAAACACACAUGACCUGAGCGGAGAGUGGAAAGAAAGCCUCCUGGUCCCCAGGGAACUUGACAGAGAGCGCCUGACAGCCAGACUGAGUGACUGGCCUCACCAUCUGCUCCCGCACGUCUCUCCCCAACAAUGGGGACUUCUGCAGACCUUCUGCCCCUUCCCCUCCCCCACCUUUAGCAUGCAUUUAAAUGAGGCCCCAUCACUGGGGGGCGGCAGCUCCUGUUGUGAUCUCUCACACCGAGGGAGCCAGCCCCGCACCCGAACAGGAGGCCCGAGGGGAGAGGUUAAAAUCUCAGCUGCCCAGGGUGAUGAUUACGGAGCCGCUCCCAAAUUAAGCUGCUUCACUGCUGGUCCUUGGGCAUGUGUUGGGAUAAUUGUGCUUGAAUACUUAAUGCUUGAUUGACUUGGCUGUUUUGUGUUUCACCAUAUUUUGAAAUGCGAUCUCACUGUUGGGGUAGGCAAUUAGCAUCAAGCCCACGGGGUUGGAAAGAGGGAACACUGAGUUGCUUCUAUGGUGAUUUCUGUUUCUUUCCUGGAUUCAGCACAGAAAGCUGAGUGUUCUGCUGGGGCUCAUUUGCCUAUAUUUGGAUCAUCUGGAAUUUUGAUCUUAAAGAGGAAGUCUCUUAAUCCUGAACUUCAGUGUAGCUGCUAACUUUGAUCUUUGCUCCUUCCGUUACAGCUGAGUUUUGCUUCCAUUUCAAGUGACCUUCGCUCCGGUUCAGCAGUGGAAGAAUAGGAGAGGAGACGUCAGGGCUCAGAAGAGGAAAAUUCGUGCUGAGGAUCAGAAAGGCUAGGACAGAAUACAAGUGAUAAGUUAUGACACAGAAUCCAGAAUUUUGAGAUGACAGCGGAGUGGCUGUGGUGCCCUGUCCUGUUCAGUUCUUUAUGGGUAUGUCUUAAUCAUCUCUGUUUCCCCAGCGCCUAGCACAAUGCCUGGCUUUUAGUAAGCAUUUAGUAUUUAUAUUUGUGGGACAUGUAUAUUAACGCUAGCACAAUUUCCAGGAAAACAGAGAAGGGCAAUUAGCUAAUUUAAAAAAUCGGUUUGAUUUCGUUUUCAAAUGCUUAACUUGAGCACCACUCAGGCUGUGUCCCAUAUUAUUGGACUAAAGCAUUCCAGUUAAGAAUUACAAAAGGCAGGCAAUGGGUCACACAGAUUCGAGAUCACUUUGGGGAUAUUUGAAACCACUGACUCUCUAUAAUAAAGGAAGGCCAGGUUUCUACUCAUUUAAUCUCAUUAAAAGCCGCACAAGCAAGUACCAGUUUAUUUAAAGAGAAGUAAGAGGAAGGUUAAUUAUGGAAUAGUCAGAUGACUUAAUGUGUAUCACUCAUUCCAUAAAUAACAAUGUCCAUUCCAUGAAUGAAGGCAUCAUGUAACCACGGGCCUCCAGGACCAGUUCAACUGACCCCAUCUUAUCAACAGAGUAAUUAAGAGCAGUUUUUCAGGAACUGAGACCCUUUGUCCAGUUCAGGCCAGUUGAGACCACCAACCUAAAGCUGGGCCUGAGCAAAUGCCCCAUAAGUGACUUUUUUGACCUCAAAGGGCUGAAAACUCCACCCUCAGAUCAUACUAACACCACCAUUUUGUGACCAUGUGUCCUGUGAAGAGGCAUGAAGCUUGACCACGCUUGUGCAGAUCAUCGAUUACCUCACUUCUCCUUACCUCCAAUAAUCUACCUCCACACUUUAGUCCGCCCUGCCCUUCAUCCCAUAAAUUGUGCCCCAAGCCCUGGAUCUGAGAGCUGAUGCCUUUUGUCUCCUUGCAGAUAGAUCUAGCAAUAAAGCUGAUUUCUUUUCCCAAAAGCUGAUGCCAUAAUAAUUGGCCAUUUUUUUGCACAUCGAGUCGGAGUACCCCAAUUUUGUGGGGUAACAAUUGAUAGUGGCUCAAGAUAAAGUUGACAUGAGGGAAGCCAUGUUGUAGAAAAGAAAGCCUAUAGUAACUUUGAAUGAUCUCUGACUAACUAACCCAGCCAUAUAUGUACCCUCCAGGAGAUCUAAGUGCUCUGUAGAUUUUAAGACCCCUGCUUGUGCAUGUACUUCCCAGCUGCAAUAAGAUGAUAACUUUGUUCUUUUGAGUUCCUUAGGAAUGUGAUGACUCCCCAACAGAGAGUCUAUGCUGAUAGCCAUCAUCAAUGAAAACUGAAAGAUCUGGUGUGGCACUCCAAGUCUGUAACACCAGAAGGUCAACAUUCCUAACCCCCUCCCCUAUAACCCACCAGUCUAUAUAACUGCUGUAAGAUGUUGUGCCCCUUAAGAUGGUUCUUUUGGACAUGAGUCGGCCGUCUUCCCUCUUGCUACCAAGCUGUAAUAAAAAGGCCUUUUUCUCCUGCCGCCUUGCCUCUUGACUAUUGGCAUGUCUUGCGGUGGGCAGACGAACCCCCUUUUUGGGCAGU